AUCUGCAGAUCCCCUCGGUCAGGGGCUGCCCCGCCUGGGCUGUUCGGAGCAGCUCCUCUGUAGGGCAGGGCCUGACCUCACCCCACACCCCAGUGGCUUCAGCUCCCUGCCCAGCGCACGGGCUGCCUCCAUCAGGGCACUUAAGUAGAGUCAAGGUUUGCGCCGACUCCGUCUCCCAGAAAUCAACGUGGACCAGGCCCACUUAAAAAAUAUGCAUUAGUCGAAGACAGACGUCUCGUCCAUAGGUCCCCAGACUGUUUGUCCACAACGCAGGGCUUCUCUUUGUGGGCCUGAAGGAGCACACGUCAGGCAAGACACGAGGGCAACUUCAGAGACACUGUUCAGGGCCACGGAGAAUUCUCGAAGUCUGUGAGUUGUCUCCAAAACAGCCUCCAGGAAAUGCAAUCCCAGAGACACCGCAAAGCUCAAAACAGACUUUUCAUUCCUCCCCAUUUCCACUCCCAGAAAAAGCCUGGGCCCCUGAAAGAGCUCCAAGAGAUCUCCAGGGGUCCAGAAAUAACACCUCACAGCCUUCCAAGCUUCCCAAGGAUCCGGAGACUCCUUAUCUCGCAGCGCAAACCUCAGGCAACUACAGGUCCUCCCUGCACCUUUGAGGUGCCCCUCCCCCCACUCAAGGUUCCAGAAAAAUCCAUGCCCUCGGAAACCCCAGAAUCUUACUUUCCCGAGGCACCCCAGGACCCCAGGGUCAUCAGUUCACAGGGCUGUUAGUGCUCCCAUAAAACUCUAGCCUCCCAGAGGGACCCCAGCCCCCACCCUCCCGCCCACGAACCCCUGCAUUUCCAGAAUCAGCCCCAGGGCCCCAACCCCCCCAAGCCCCCAUUUCACAACACGCUGGCGCUACAGGCGCGUGACUUCCCCUUGCUUUGGGGCGGGGGGCUGAGACUCCUAUGUGCUCCGGAUUGGUCAGGCACGGCCUUCGGCCCCGCCUCCUGCCACCGCAGAUUGGCCGCUAGCCCUCCCCGAGCGCCCUGCCUCCGAGGGCCGGCGCACCAUAAAAGAAGCCGCCCUAGCCACGUCCCCUCGCAGUUCGGCGGUCCCGCGGGUCUGUCUCUUGCUUCAACAGUGUUUGGACGGAACAGAUCCGGGGACUCUCUUCCAGCCUCCGACCGCCCUCCGAU
rnacentral:lncRNA from 1 species